rnacentral:rRNA from 1 species
UACGUAGGGGGCAAGCGUUGUCCGGAUUUAUUGGGCGUAAAGAGCGUGUAGGCGGCCAGACAGGUCCGUUGUGAAAACUCGAGGCUCAACCUCGAGACGCCGAUGGAAACCGUCUGGCUAGAGUCCGGAAGAGGAGAGUGGAAUUCCUGGUGUAGCGGUGAAAUGCGCAGAUAUCAGGAGGAACACCAAUAGCGAAGGCAGCUCGCUGGGACGGUAUUGACGCUAAGGCGCGAAAGCGUGGGGAGCAAACAGG